rnacentral:rRNA from 1 species
GGUUAAGCGACUAAGCGUACACGGUGGAUGCCCUGGCAGUCAGAGGCGAUGAAGGACGUGCUAAUCUGCGAAAAGCGUCGGUAAGGUGAUAUGAACCGUUAUAGCCGGCGAUGUCCGAAUGGGGAAACCCAGUGCAAUUCGUUGCACUAUCGUUAACUGAAUACAUAGGUUAACGAGGCGAACCGGGGGAACUGAAACAUCUAAGUACCCCGAGGAAAAGAAAUCAACCGAGAUUCCCCCAGUAGCGGCGAGCGAACGGGGAGCAGCCCAGAGUCUGAAUCAGCUUGUGUGUUAGUGGAACGGUCUGGAAAGUCCGACGGUACAGGGUGAUAGUCCCGUACACCAAAAUGCACAGGUUGUGAACUCGAAGAGUAGGGCGGGACACGUGGUAUCCUGUCUGAAUAUGGGGGGACCAUCCUCCAAGGCUAAAUACUCCUGACUGACCGAUAGUGAACCAGUACCGUGAGGGAAAGGCGAAAAGAACCCCGGCGAGGGGAGUGAAAAAGAACCUGAAACCGUGUACGUACAAGCAGUGGGAGCACCUUCGGGUGUGACUGCGUACCUUUUGUAUAAUGGGUCAGCGACUUAUAUUCUGUAGCAAGGUUAACCGUAUAGGGGAGCCGCAGGGAAACCGAGUCUUAACUGGGCGUUAAGUUGCAGGGUAUAGACCCGAAACCCGGUGAUCUAGCCAUGGGCAGGUUGAAGGUUGGGUAACACUAACUGGAGGACCGAACCGACUAAUGUUGAAAAAUUAGCGGAUGACUUGUGGCUGGGGGUGAAAGGCCAAUCAAACCGGGAGAUAGCUGGUUCUCCCCGAAAGCUAUUUAGGUAGCGCCUCGUGAACUCAUCUUCGGGGGUAGAGCACUGUUUCGGCUAGGGGGUCAUCCCGACUUACCAACCCGAUGCAAACUACGAAUACCGAAGAAUGUUAUCACGGGAGACACACGGCGGGUGCUAACGUCCGUCGUGAAGAGGGAAACAACCCAGACCGCCAGCUAAGGUCCCAAAGUCAUGGUUAAGUGGGAAACGAUGUGGGAAGGCACAGACAGCCAGGAUGUUGGCUUAGAAGCAGCCAUCAUUUAAAGAAAGCGUAAUAGCUCACUGGUCGAGUCGGCCUGCGCGGAAGAUGUAACGGGGCUAAACCAUGCACCGAAGCUGCGGCAGCGACACUAUGUGUUGUUGGGUAGGGGAGCGUUCUGUAAGCCUGCGAAGGUGACCUGUGAGGGUUGCUGGAGGUAUCAGAAGUGCGAAUGCUGACAUAAGUAACGAUAAAGCGGGUGAAAAGCCCGCUCGCCGGAAGACCAAGGGUUCCUGUCCAACGUUAAUCGGGGCAGGGUGAGUCGACCCCUAAGGCGAGGCCGAAAGGCGUAGUCGAUGGGAAACAGGUUAAUAUUCCUGUACUUGGUGUUACUGCGAAGGGGGGACGGAGAAGGCUAUGUUAGCCGGGCGACGGUUGUCCCGGUUUAAGCAUGUAGGCUGAUUGUCCAGGCAAAUCCGGAUAAUCAAGGCUGAGGUGUGAUGACGAGGCACUACGGUGCUGAAGUAACAAAUGCCCUGCUUCCAGGAAAAGCCUCUAAGCAUCAGGUAACAUCAAAUCGUACCCCAAACCGACACAGGUGGUCAGGUAGAGAAUACCAAGGCGCUUGAGAGAACUCGGGUGAAGGAACUAGGCAAAAUGGUGCCGUAACUUCGGGAGAAGGCACGCUGGUGUGUAGGUGAAGUCCCUGCGGAUGGAGCUGAGACCAGUCGAAGAUACCAGCUGGCUGCAACUGUUUAUUAAAAACACAGCACUGUGCAAACACGAAAGUGGACGUAUACGGUGUGACGCCUGCCCGGUGCCGGAAGGUUAAUUGAUGGGGUUAUCCGUAAGGAGAAGCUCUUGAUCGAAGCCCCGGUAAACGGCGGCCGUAACUAUAACGGUCCUAAGGUAGCGAAAUUCCUUGUCGGGUAAGUUCCGACCUGCACGAAUGGCGUAAUGAUGGCCAGGCUGUCUCCACCCGAGACUCAGUGAAAUUGAACUCGCUGUGAAGAUGCAGUGUACCCGCGGCAAGACGGAAAGACCCCGUGAACCUUUACUAUAGCUUGACACUGAACAUUGAGCCUUGAUGUGUAGGAUAGGUGGGAGGCUUUGAAGCGUGGACGCCAGUCUGCGUGGAGCCAACCUUGAAAUACCACCCUUUAAUGUUUGAUGUUCUAACGUUGGCCCCUGACCGGGGUUGCGGACAGUGUCUGGUGGGUAGUUUGACUGGGGCGGUCUCCUCCCAAAGCGUAACGGAGGAGCACGAAGGUUAGCUAAUCCUGGUCGGACAUCAGGAGGUUAGUGCAAUGGCAUAAGCUAGCUUGACUGCGAGCGUGACGGCGCGAGCAGGUGCGAAAGCAGGUCAUAGUGAUCCGGUGGUUCUGAAUGGAAGGGCCAUCGCUCAACGGAUAAAAGGUACUCCGGGGAUAACAGGCUGAUACCGCCCAAGAGUUCAUAUCGACGGCGGUGUUUGGCACCUCGAUGUCGGCUCAUCACAUCCUGGGGCUGAAGUAGGUCCCAAGGGUAUGGCUGUUCGCCAUUUAAAGUGGUACGCGAGCUGGGUUUAGAACGUCGUGAGACAGUUCGGUCCCUAUCUGCCGUGGGCGCUGGAGAAUUGAGGGGGGCUGCUCCUAGUACGAGAGGACCGGAGUGGACGCAUCACUGGUGUUCGGGUUGUCAUGCCAAUGGCACUGCCCGGUAGCUAAAUGCGGAAGAGAUAAGUGCUGAAAGCAUCUAAGCACGAAACUUGCCCCGAGAUGAGUUCUCCCUGAGACUUUAAGUCUCCUGAAGGAACGUUAAAGACGAUGACGUUGAUAGGCCGGGUGUGUAAGCGCAGCGAUGCGUUGAGCUAACCGGUACUAAUGAACCGUGAGGCUUAACCUU